AAUGGCGUUAAACCGUUCAGUAGUCAAUUUCCAUUGACGAGCCAAGGAUUCUAAUUUCUGUUGGUGUGUGGAGAAGGCGUCAAUGCCGAGUGCAGAGUCGCAAGAGGAGGGACCAGGAGAGUGCAGGAAGCCAUGGUGAGAGGACGCUCUGAGAGACCACUUCUUUGUGACAAGCAGUGUUGAAACUUGACAUAUAUGGAUUCAUUUAAUUGUCACCAUAACGACAUGAUGGAGGUAUUACUGCUUUUUUCCAACUAACACACGAGAAAACAGAGGCAUGGAAAAAUUAAGGACACACAGCUGCUAAUAGGCAGAGAGAGAGACACAGCGAGAGAGGGAACACAAGCAGUGGGAGAGGGAGAAGCAGGCUUCUUGCAGAGCAGGGAGCCCAAUGUGGGGCCCGAUCCCAGGACUCUGGGAUCAUGACCUGAGCCGAAGGCAGACACUUAACGACUGAGCCCCCCAGGCACCCUCUGAAGAAGCAUUUUCACUGUAGAUGUUCCCAGCUGGAGAAGAUGGGGAAGAAAAGGAGAAUGCAAUUCUGGAAUGAAGAUGGGAUCUGAACAGAAGUGCAGAGUCAUGGGAAGACUUAAUUUACAUCAUUUGAAGAAGUUAAUGGCAGAUGGUGGAGAUAGCAAUUUCAGACCAUUCUUCUGAAGCCGUCGUUACCAAGGGGGGAGCUGGUAUAAUAUCGGCAGUAGUAAUGAGUGGACGUGAUGAGAAAGAGGAAGAGACAACAGAGCUGCUUGUGUCCUGUGAAGGUGGCCAUCUACAAUCCAUAAGGAGGACCCUCACCAGGAUCUAAAUCUAACAGCACUUUGACCUAAAAUUCUCAGCUUUCAGAACUGU